CACGCGCUUUCUCCUUUAAAUAUGCUAACUCUAGUGUAGCCAAUAAACCUUUGGAAUUUGUACUUUUUAUAUCUAGUGACAAGCUCUGUUUCCCUAUUAUAUACAUUUCAUUGAUGAUCUUAGUAGAUUUUCUUUUAAAAAGCUCUUUCUUUUUUACUUUUUGUUUUUUAAUGGAAAAGCAUUUCAUUGAUGAUGUUAGUAGAUUUACAUGGUAUUUUUCCUUGGUAUGCAAUUAGUGUUUGUUCAAAGAUUUAAAAUGAACAGUGAGAAUAUGUUUUGCAUAAUCAAAAGUAUUCAAACUAAUGGUGGCAGUUAAUACAUGAAGUUCAAAACCUUUCUUGAAAUACAUGGCAUUAUUCUCUGCUUCUCUGUUCCUGCCUCAUUAAUUCUCUGUGGUGACCAAUGCCUCAAUCCCACCUGUCACGCCAUUCAAUGCUAUUUUUGUUUUUUUAGUUUUUCUCUUUAACCAGGUAUUUUCUCAAACACAUUAAAUCUUUUCAAUUCUCUUUUUUAUUAUCAAUUUCUUUAAGGUUCUGGCUAUGGAUUUUUAAAUUCAGUUAUGGCUAUGUACUGACUCAUCCUCUUCACAUGGCACUAGUGUACAUCCAGACUAUCCAAAUUGUAGGGUCCCAUUGUUAAUGGAGUAUAUCUCUAAAAUCACAAUAAUCACCAAUUAAUGGCUAUUAAAUGGAUGGUUAAAAGUAAAAUAGUAAGUGGUAUAAAUUCAAAGGAAAAAACUAAUGCAAGGGCAUUUUCACACUGGGCUCGAGUGGGGUGGCCUAUUAGAUGCAGGGGCACUUGGAGUGGGCAGCCCGUGUGAGGCAAGUAGCUUGUGUGAGGCAGGCCCCACCCAUGUGAGGUGGGUAGCUCAUGUGAGGUGAAACCCAUAUGAUGUGGGGCCCAUGAGGGGUUCGACCAAUGACCUAACUCAUGGGAUGUGGAGCCUGGGCUAUGAGAUACAAUGAUUGAUUCACCACACUCUAUUAGUUUGAGCUUUUAGAGCAAGUGACUACUUGUCCUACAUUAAAGUGAUAUACUGGGGGUGAUUAAUGCAUGAACAUUUUCAUACCGGGCUCAAAUGAGGUGGCUUGUGAGAUGCAGGGGCACACUGGCGGUGAGCGUUCCGUGUGAGGUAGAUGGCUAGUGCGAUUCAAGCCCCACCCGUGUGAAACGGGUGCUAUACUACUAUGCAACGCAUACAAUUGAAGAUUCAGCAACAUUUGUUAAAUGUAAGAACUAAGACUGAUGAGACCCUCCCAUUUGAUCAUACUAUAGAUAAUAACGUGAUUUGGGUCGCCUAUCUCAUGCGUUACCACCAAGCACGUUAUCUGAUGAUCUAGAUUGUAUAUGAUUCUUGGAAAGAAUAGUACAUGAUAGCCUCAAUUUGUCAAUUUGUACAAGUAGGGUCAAUGGCAGGGUGAUUCCAACUGCAUUCAAACCUUCCAUCUGCUUUUCUUUUAACAUCCCAGUCUAAAAUUAAUCUCUUUGAUCAAUCCGUUUGACUAUGAGCCUCCACAUUGAGGCUGCUGGAAAAGCUGUCUGGAUUUCGUCAUGUUUCCACCUGUCUCAUAGAGGUGCAUGUGACAAUCAUGCAUGAUAUAAGAAUUCUUUGGACCUAGAUUCAAUGGAAAGCAAUUGCAAGGUGGCAAGUGAAUUGUUAUUGCAUCAUGCAUGAACAUGAUUGAACUAUGUCAUAAACAUUCAUGUACUUUAGUUUGAUGUGUGUUAAGGAUGCAGAUGGAAAAAUACAGGAUCAAAGAAUAACUGCCCUCAAGAGGGAGGCAAAACUUCAUUUUCUUUUCUUAGGCUAGAAAAACGUAUGAUUGUAAUCUCAAUUGGCUACAUUUUCAUAACAUUCUCAAACCAGAUCUCCUAUUCAUUCAAACGAACAAGGCAAAUAAUUUGAUACUAGAUGUGGCUGCUUGGCUUAACUUCUAUUGAUUGGUCAAUGCAGGGGGAGGUUGGAACUUGUUUGAUUGAUUGCAACUCUCAUUGACUCAUGUGACUUCGAUCAUGCUCUGUGUGUGUGUGUUUGUUUAUGUAUAUAUAAAAUGAACAAAAUAAAUGUUUCUUUUGGAACAUGAUCGGAUAUGGGUCCUACUAGGUGGACAAGCUCAAUUGAUGGUCUCGGUUGACACAUGCUCAUGACCAAUGAAAAUACAGUAGAGGGAUGGUGCUACCACAUUCUGGUUCUAAUGGCUCUACUUUCCUUUGGUAGUGGUAUGCCCACAAGGACCUCCCCACUUUAUGUAUGGUAUAGAUGAGUGAUCCAUCUGAUGGUUCCACUGCAUUCCUGACCAUAACAAAAAGAAAAUUAAAAAAUAAAUGAUUUCGAAAAGCAUAGCAAUGGCUCACAUGCCCUACUUGUCGGCGGUUUCUUCUAGUUGAUCACCAUCUCCGGAGUGUUCAAAUUUGAGAAACGAUCGAGGUGGCUAAGUAUAUAGAAACCAUCACAUGCACACAGAUGCAUUUGGCAUCCAGGUCACCCUAUCUAGCUAAUUGGUAUUUGCUUUACUUUGAGUUUCAUCCAACUGUUUUCUUUGUGAAGGAACAUCAGUAGGGGAGAUUACUGCUGCAUGACUCAAAGAAAGGCGAUUUCUAUCAUCUAGAGGCAACCCCAAAUUUCGUGCAUUUAACAUCAAAGUCUUGUCAUACAACAAUGUGUUUUUGGUUCCAAUGUACACCAGCUUAUAUUGGUCGUUGGCCAAAACCGAUGGCCCAUUACAUCAGACGACACAUGGGUGAACAGGAUUGUCCAAUUGCUUUAAAAACAAGAGGGGAUUGUUGCUCCGUCAAAACACUCAUACAAAAUUGUAAUUCAUCAAUCUUGCAGAUAAUCAUACGAUCAACGAGUUUCCAGUCACUUUAUUUGUAUUUCAUGUUUGUAAUACUCACAAAAGCAUUCAAAAUUUUGUUCAA